rnacentral:tRNA from 1 species
GGUAUAGCGCAGUUGGUUAGCGUGCCAGAUUGUGGCUCUGGAGGUCGUGGGUUCGAUUCCCACUACC